AUAAUGCAUACAAAACGGCAUCAUGAACAAAAACAUACAGGGAGCGUAGCGUAGCAGAACUCUUCAUUAUAAAUACUUGUCAGAGAAAGAAGGCGAGCGAGUGUUGAAAUACUGUGAUGCAAAACCUUUGGCCACGGCUGUACACCGCUGGAUUGGAAUGUAAGCAAAGACCCAUUCGAAACUAGUCCCGCACUGUUAUUGAGGAAUCCUUCAGGGAAUGAACCGAAGAAAAGCCAAAGAAAGUCUAAGCAGAAGAUUCUUUUUUUUUUUUUUUAACCCAAGAUGCUAUUAAACCUUCACCAGGCUCUCUCAGACAAAAUUAACAUCUCUUUCUUUUCAACUGGAUAAUAUCAUUAUCGUAAGAUCUCUCAGAAUACAUUUCGCAUAGAUUUGCAAAAAUAUAUAUUCCUGGAUUCCCAUGAGACUGUGUACAGCUGUACUUGUGACUGUAAUUCAUGUGACAGACAGGAGAGAUUCAGUGUGCAACAAAGUAAGCAGAUUUGAAUUUUUUGAGUUUCUCCAAUGGUGACUCUCAGGACCCGUUGUCAUGCAGGUCGGGUACACGAUUUCACACUGCGUUUGAUAAAGCAGGGUUGACCUGGGUGACAGACGCAAGUACACAAUACGUGUAUCAAUGCCCUGGAAGCAGCUUGUUACUGACACUUUCACAUUGAUUAGAGCAAAUGUUUCUACAUCCCUUGCUGCAGUCUGGCUCAUGCGGUGUCUCAAUCAACAAAAUAUGGCUAAAAAGAAUAAACAGAAACGUUCCUUGCAGAAGUGAAACCUUCACGCAGGCAUGGCUGUUUGUUAUUGCGUCGACUGCGCGGGAUUGUGACCCGGGUAGCCAGGACCUGGGUCCGGACCCGCAUAAAACUGCCAGUGUGAAAGGGGCUUAACAGAUUAAUGACUUAUAUGUUUAAUUAGUCACUAAAGGUGAGUAAAUCUUAAACUCACAUAAACAAAAACAAAUGAAGAAUUUAAAUAUUGUCUGCACAUUAAAAGGCUGUAAUGUUAUAAAGCUUAUAUGGCAUAUAUGAUGAAAAAAAAAAAAAGAUUAGCAACCUUCUGUGUAAAUGUAAACAUGAGAUACAUUUUUAUUUAAAAAAUUCACUUGAUUUGUUAUUUAUCAUCAUAUUUAUAGUUUAUUCCUGUAUUUAUUUAAAAAAUCAAUGCCUUAAUGUUAGUGUCAUGCGCGGUUAUCAAUAUUGGGCCCACAGUGUUCAAUUAUAGGGAUUAAGCACAUUAUAAACUACCUCUGUGAAGGCCAGUACUUAAGUACUCAGAUUUGAAGGCAAAAAAGACUAAUACAUUUGUGGGGUUUUUUUUGUUUUUUUUUACUUCAGAUUUUGGUCUGACUGUUAAUUUGAAAUAACCUUGUUAUGAUCAUAAAACAAAAUAAAUAUUAGUAUUUCUGAAUAGAUAAAUGCACCCCAUCUCACAACAGCUGAGAUACCCACAAAAUGUUAUCAUUUUUCGAAAUCUGACAAUUAGGGUUGAGACAUUUCGUUUCACAUGGUUUUGAUGGCAAACCUGUGCUUGACUGUGCUUUAUUGAGCUUUAUACUUUUUUACAUUACGUGGCUCUAUUUGGACAUGUGUAGGGAGCAAUGAUUGUCUCUCUUCAAUACUCCAGUGUGGGAUGAGCAAUAUUACCUGUCAAAUAAGAACAUCCCAGCCGAUAAGGUCACUAACAAGCAAAUCACUGAAAGACGAUUCAUCUCAUUGAUGGCACAAGGGAAAAUGUUCGCUAUAAGGUGGCAAUGUAUGUUUUUGGAUCAUUUAAUGACACUAGAGAGCGUGACAGACAGGGCUAUAUUGUUCUGUGGAAACGCUCAAUUAGGUAUUGAAGUACUUUGUGAAUGUCUAUUCACAAUGUGCUUCAAGGCUGCCUGAGGGAAUGCAUUCAGAACUGGGUAGUUGUCACAAUUCUUCAAGUGUCACAAUAAACAACACUGGAGACAAACCUGUUGCAUAUGCGUAGGCAGCCAGACAACAAGAACAUGGCUACUAUUUGUAACUCUCUCCUUUUAUCAGUGGCUGGAAAGAGAAAUGAGUGGCUUUCAGUUUCCAGAAAUGUAAAUAAUUCAAGGCCAUCUAGAUGAACUUAUUUGUACACUUACUAGUAUAAGCACAUAUUUUUACUAUAAGUUAACUGCUCUCAGUUGAACUCGCUCUUAAAUGUAAUUACUUACUAUAUUCUUUAUUUUGCUCUUAUUUGAAUUUGAUCUUAUUUGCUAAUGAUUUUAUUGUACUUUAUAACUGCUCUUAUCUGUAAUGUGAUAUUUUAUAAUGUGAUAUUUUGUACUGUGAUAUUCAAUCAAUUGUAAGACACCCUGGAUAAUGACGUCUGCUAAGAAAUACAUAAUAAUAAUAAUAAUAAUAAUAAUAAUAAUAAUAAUAAUAAUAA